rnacentral:rRNA from 1 species
AUUGAACGCUGGCGGCAGGCCUAACACAUGCAAGUCGAACGAGCGGCGGACGGGUGAGUCAUGACUGGGAAACUGCCCGAUGGAGGGGGGUCAAUACCGGAAACGGUAUCGAAUUCCCCAUACCAUUGGAUGUGCCCAGUUGGGUUUAGCUUGUGGGUGGGGUAACGGCUUACCCAGGCGACGAUCCCUAGCUGGUCUGAGAGGAUGACCGGCCACACUGGGACUGAGACACGGUCCAGACUCCUACGGGAGGCAGCAGUGGGGAAUAUGGCACAAUGGGCGCAAGCCUGAUGCAGCCAUGCCGCGUGUAUGAAGAAGGCCUUCGGGUUGUAAAGUACUUUCGGCGGGGAGGCGUUACCCGCAGAAGAAGCACCGGCUAACUCCGUGCCAGCAGCCGCGGUAAUUC